UCUAAAAAAUGCUGGGUUAUUAUUUUUAACCCAAAUGCUGGGUUCAGCAUGUGGGGUCAUUUUAUUGGGGGAUUUUUACUCAGGUGCUGUUUAGUUUUUUUUGUAACUCAGCUGCUGGGUCAUUUUUAAUGUCAAUACAAUGAUAAACCCCCUCACUACCUACCCAGCGUUGGGUAAACUGUGCCAAACCGGUUCAAACUGGAUGCAUUUGUUAGUGGUCAUUUUGUGCUCUGUCUUGACUGACGGGAAACUACCUGAAUGAAAUUAAGCUAACGUCUGCUUGGAAGCUAGCCUUCUACAAACGCAGCACUGGCCGGAUCUCCACUCGAAACGAACGACUCGCCGGCGCCACCACGGAACUUUCACCUCCCGCCAAACGAAUGAGCGACCAGGACUGAAACACGACGCGACUUCACUAUUCCCAUUGGCUGCUCUUGCUGCUCCCGUCAUGUCC